CCACCACUGCCACCGCCAUGCCCUCCAUCGCCAUGCCCUCCAUCCUGUUCUUGGGCUCCUUGUUUGGUAGGCGGCAGUGAGCCAAGCACCAGGCUGUUCUGAGGCCUGUCAGGCUGAUCUUCCUGGAAAGAGCUGUUUGGGAUUUAUUUUUAUUUUUACAAAAUAACUUUUAAUGAACUGUUCAAUUCAUGUUGUCUUCUGAGUGAAGUUACAUUCUGAAUCUCUUGCUGAUUAUGGUUUUCACUUUCAAGUCACUUUUGGGCUCACUAAUGGACUAACCAGUAGUGAUUCUAGGUACGCCCAUUGUUGCUUUUUAAUGGUGUGUUAAAGUUGUAUUUUUUACUCUCUUUGUUGACUUUGCUGCUUAUUGGUACCAGGCACAGAGUUUCUAGACACAAUUUUAUGGAUUUGUUUUAAUUUUUAAGAGUUUGUGUCUCUACCGUGAAUCAGUUUUUCAGGGUCUCGUGGCAUCUGCUUUACUUUCUGUCAGAAUGACACAGUAGCCUCUGCUGGAGGAGAGCCCAGGUGGGCCCAGGGCAGCACAGUCACUUUGUUGCUGCUAUGGCACUGACCAGGCAGCUCUGCUUUGUUGCUCCUGGGCUCUGGCAUUAGCUGACCUAUAUCACAUUGUCAGAACAAGUGUGCUACUGUGUGGCAUCAUCGAGUUUCUGCUGGUGACUUGGAUGAGUGACUCCCCCUGAGGAUCCCUGGGCUUGGCCUGUGAGUGCCCAUACCUGCAUCUCCCAGGCACACUGGACACCCUUCAAGUGUGCAUUUUAAUGUCCGCGUGAAAUUGACUACCUGUGCUGCAAAUGUCACAAGAGUAUGGAAAUAAAAGAAUAUUUAUCUGAA